GCUGGAAUGAUUUGAAGUCCCCUAUUGCAAUAGAUGGUGAUUACUGUAAGUAACAUAUCAUAUAUCAUUGAGCAGUGAUUUUUUUUGUGAAAAGAUUUGAUAAAACAGGUAAUAUUGUUAUGGUGCAACAUGAAUUUCAAAUACGAUUUAACUAUAGAAAAAUCUCCAGGAAGAACAACAACAAUUAAACAAGAAAUAAAAAAGUUUAAAGUGCCUGAUUAUAUGGGCAACAAUAAGAAAAAUGUUGGCUGGAAGAGAUCUAUGAGAAUAUCUGAAAACAUUGCGCAUAUAGUGCAUGUGUUUACUUGUGGCCCAAGAAAAUCUUUCAUGCAACUUUUUCAACACAUGGGUUUAAAACAAAAAAUCUUGACAAUCAUUCA
rnacentral:lncRNA from 1 species